CAACUUUCAACAAUGGAUCUCUUGGCUCUUGCAUCGAUGAAGAACGCAGCGAAAUGCGAUAAGUAAUGUGAAUUGCAGAAUUCAGUGAAUCAUUGAAUAUUUGAACGCAUCUUGCACUCCUUGGUAUUCUGAGGAGUAUGCCUGUUUGAGUGUCAUUU
rnacentral:rRNA from 1 species